CACACACACACACACACACACACACACACACACACACACACACACACACACACACACACACACCUCCGCUGGCUUUAAUCGGGUUUGGUUUGCACCCCAGCGCUGCUCACCUACACAGCGGGGAGCGUGUUCUUCCAAAUCCAAAUCUACCACAUUACGCAGAAAAACCGAAUUCUUGUUCUUAGGUGAGAUCCUUCCACGUUACACCAGUGUGAGAUUUCUCAAAGGUCGCGGAUACAGGAGCACUCCCCCCCUCCGGACCGUCUCACUGCCGUCCUUCCUCUCGUCUAUCAAUCACCUGCACGGUGGCAGGAGUCACAGCUUAUUACCGGCAUCCGUCUGAUCAUAAAUUCUCCACACCAACAACACAAACCACAUGACAGGCGGGUGAUGGGUCCCAUGAGAGAACAGACAGACCGUACCGCAGAUACGCUGGGAUGUUACCGAGCAGCCAGGGAGCUGAGCGGGUUCAUCAUCGGCGUCGCCACCUUACUAUUACAUCCUUGAUGAGCUGUGCUCUCACCUUCCUCCUCCCCGUCCACACCUCCACUUCACGGGGAACGCCUCGGUCCUCGGCCGUGCCACAGCCAGGUAUUGUCGAUCUGACUUCCAGGGUUUCUUUGGACAGGGACUUACAUUCACAUUUACAUUCGGAGCAUUCAGCCGACGCUUUUAUCCAAAGCGACUUACAUUUGUCAGAAGAAGGACGAACAACAAUAUAUCACUGUCGGUACAGUAAGGAUGUUCAUUGAACAAAGUGCCAAGCACUAACAAUCGUUAGGUUAACCAAUUCCCUGCAUACAUAAGAGAUAGCUAGGAUAAGGCGCUACACGAUGCUAAGUACUAUUUCUAAGUGCAAGGACGUACAACAUACAAUUAGUGCAUACAUUAAGUGCCAGGAUGUACAACAUAAUAUAAGUAGGAGGGUGUGGGAGAGGGUGGCUAUGAAGGGUCUACGUGAACUCUGAACAGCCAGCUUGAAGGACCAGCCUGCGGCCACAGAUGGAGCAGAGCGGGAGAUGAGCUAGUUCUGUGUCACGUUCCUGACCCGGCGAGACGGAGUCGGUUUACAGGACGUUAGUACAGCAGUCCACGUGAGAACAUUCUCCCAGAGGCG